rnacentral:rRNA from 1 species
UGGCGAGUGGCGAACGGGUGAGUAACAUAUCGGAACGUACCGGGUAGCGGGGGAUAACUGAUCGAAAGAUCAGCUAAUACCGCAUACGUCUUGAGAGGGAAAGCAGGGGACCUUCGGGCCUUGCGCUAUCCGAGCGGCCGAUAUCUGAUUAGCUGGUUGGCGGGGUAAAGGCCCACCAAGGCGACGAUCAGUAGCGGGUCUGAGAGGAUGAUCCGCCACACUGGGACUGAGACACGGCCCAGACUCCUACGGGAGGCAGCAGUGGGGAAUUUUGGACAAUGGGCGCAAGCCUGAUCCAGCCAUGCCGCGUGUCUGAAGAAGGCCUUCGGGUUGUAAAGGACUUUUGUCAGGGAAGAAAAGGCCGUUGCCAAUAUCGGCGGCCGAUGACGGUACCUGAAGAAUAAGCACCGGCUAACUACGUGCCAGCAGCCGCGGUAAUACGUAGGGUGCGAGCGUUAAUCGGAAUUACUGGGCGUAAAGCGGGCGCAGACGGUUACUUAAGCAGGAUGUGAAAUCCCCGGGCUCAACCCGGGAACUGCGUUCUGAACUGGGUGACUCGAGUGUGUCAGAGGGAGGUGGAAUUCCACGUGUAGCAGUGAAAUGCGUAGAGAUGUGGAGGAAUACCGAUGGCGAAGGCAGCCUCCUGGGAUAACACUGACGUUCAUGUCCGAAAGCGUGGGUAGCAAACAGGAUUAGAUACCCUGGUAGUCCACGCCCUAAACGAUGUCAAUUAGCUGUUGGGCAACUUGAUUGCUUGGUAGCGUAGCUAACGCGUGAAAUUGACCGCCUGGGGAGUACGGUCGCAAGAUUAAAACUCAAAGGAAUUGACGGGGACCCGCACAAGCGGUGGAUGAUGUGGAUUAAUUCGAUGCAACGCGAAGAACCUUACCUGGUUUUGACAUGUGCGGAAUCCUCCGGAGACGGAGGAGUGCCUUCGGGAGCCGUAACACAGGUGCUGCAUGGCUGUCGUCAGCUCGUGUCGUGAGAUGUUGGGUUAAGUCCCGCAACGAGCGCAACCCUUGUCAUUAGUUGCCAUCAUUCGGUUGGGCACUCUAAUGAGACUGCCGGUGACAAGCCGGAGGAAGGUGGGGAUGACGUCAAGUCCUCAUGGCCCUUAUGACCAGGGCUUCACACGUCAUACAAUGGUCGGUACAGAGGGUAGCCAAGCCGCGAGGCGGAGCCAAUCUCACAAAACCGAUCGUAGUCCGGAUUGCACUCUGCAACUCGAGUGCAUGAAGUCGGAAUCGCUAGUAAUCGCAGGUCAGCAUACUGCGGUGAAUACGUUCCCGGGUCUUGUACACACCGCCCGUCACACCAUGGGAGUGGGGGAUACCAGAAGUAGGUAGGGUAACCGCAAGGAGUCC